CAACAACACGAAGAAGAAGAUGAAGGUACUUGAUGAUGAACGGGUAAUCUGCAUCCUGAGGUUUAAAACCAAUUAAGCAUAUACAUAUGCGAAUGUAUAGUUUUUAAUCCUCGGGAUACAGUUUACCUCUUCCUUACUCAAGAAAACACUUAGCUUUAACGGUUUUG